rnacentral:rRNA from 1 species
UACAGAGGUCUCAAGCGUUGUUCGGAAUCACUGGGCGUAAAGGGUGCGUAGGUGGCGUGGCAAGUCAGAUGUGAAAGCCCGGGGCUCAACCUCGGAAUAGCAUCCGAUACUACCAUGCUAGAGUACUGAAGAGGUGACUAGAAUUCUCGGUGUAGCAGUGAAAUGCGUAGAUAUCGAGAGGAAUACCAACGGCGAAGGCAGGUCACUGGGCAGUUACUGACACUGAGGCACGAAGGCCAGGGGAGCAAACGGG